GGACGAACGCUGGCGGCGUGCUUAACACAUGCAAGUCGAACGGAAAGGCCCCCUUGUGGGGUACUCGAGUGGCGAACGGGUGAGUAACACGUGAGUAACCUACCCUUGACCUUGGGAUAACUUCAGGAAACUGGGGCUAAUACCGGAUAGGAGCUCCUGCUGCAUGGUGGGGGUUGGAAAGUUUCGGCGGUUGGGGAUGGACUCGCGGCUUAUCAGCUUGUUGGUGGGGUAGUGGCUCACCAAGGCUUUGACGGGUAGCCGGCCUGAGAGGGUGACCGGCCACAUUGGGACUGAGAUACGGCCCAGACUCCUACGGGAGGCAGCAGUGGGGAAUAUUGCACAAUGGGCGGAAGCCUGAUGCCAGCAACGCCGCGUGCGGGAUGACGGCCUUCGGGUUGUAAACCGCUUUCGCCUGUGACGAAGCGUGAGUGACGGUAAUGGGUAAAGAAGCACCGGCUAACUACGUGCCAGCCGCCGC
rnacentral:rRNA from 1 species